rnacentral:rRNA from 1 species
AUUGAACGCUGGCGGCAGGCUUAACACAUGCAAGUCGAGCGGAGAUGAGGUGCUUGCACCUUAUCUUAGCGGCGGACGGGUGAGUAAUGCUUAGGAAUCUGCCUAUGAGUGGGGGACAACAUUCCGAAAGGAAUGCUAAUACCGCAUACGCCCUACGGGGGAAAGCAGGGGAGCUUCGGACCUUGCGCUAAUAGAUGAGCCUAGGUCGGAUUAGCUAGUUGGGGGGGUAAAGGCCUGCCAAGGCGACGAGCUGUGGCGGGUCUGAGAGGAUGCUCCGCCGCACUGGGACUGAGACACGGCCCAGACUCCUACGGGAGGCAGCAGUGGGGAAUAUUGGACAAUGGGCGGAUGCCUGAUCCAGCCAUGCCGCGUGUGUGAAGAAGGCCUUUUGGUUGUAAAUCACUUUAAGCGAGGAGGAGGCUACCUGGAUUAAUACUCUAGGAUAGUGGACGUUACUCGCAGAAUAAGCACCGGCUAACUCUGUGCCAGCAGCCGCCGUAAUAC